UACGUAGGGCGCAAGCGUUGUCCGGAAUUAUUGGGCGUAAAGAGCUCGUAGGCGGUCUGUCACGUCGGCUGUGAAAUCCCGAGGCUCAACCUCGGGUCUGCAGUCGAUACGGGCAAACUAGAGUAUUGCAGGGGAGACUGGAAUUCCUGGUGUAGCGGUGAAAUGCGCAGAUAUCUGGAGGAACACCGGUGGCGAAGGCGGCAUCCUGGACCAACACUGACGCUGAUGAGCGAAAGCCAGGGGAGCAAACGGG
rnacentral:rRNA from 1 species